CGCCACUGCCUGCCAGCCUCGAAUUCCGCCGCCACCUCCCGGUCGGGGCAACCACGCUCGCCGAUCGUCGGCCCAGUCGCCAGCCGCAACCUUCCUGUCUCCCGCCACCACCUCCUGUCCCCGCCCGCAGCUACUUCCGUGUCGCCACCCGUGGCCACUUCCAGGUAGGGGCGACCGUGCCCGCCGACCGCCGAUCCCAGACUCCCUCCGCGUGUUGCAGCUUCCUGCCUUCUCCCACUGCCUCCUGCCGGUAGGGACGGCCGUCCGUGCCUGCCAGCCACCGAACCGGUCCCUCGCCGUCACCUCCUCGUUGGGGCAUCCUUCCGCAUCCGUCGUCGCUGGACCGCCUUGCCACUUCCCCUUGCGCCUCGAGCUCCAGAUCUGACGGCAGCGGUGACCUAGACUUCGGCCAUGGCGGCCCUCCGUGGCCAGGAUUCCGUCACCAUCGUGCCUCCCCAACCUUCGGAUUUGCAGGGCCUCGAUGUGCAAUGCCUCGAACCACGAGAUGCAGUGGAGAAGAAGACUAGGGACCAGAUUGACAUUUUAUUUUUGUUCGGGGGUGCGCUAUGUAAUAUGUGAGGGUUGUUUUAGGAUUUGUGCUUAUGUCAGUGUCCUUUGUGUAGAAUGUUUUACACCGGUUGACUAAUGCAGGUUCUAGGCCGUUUUGUGUCUUUUCUAUUAGGAAAAAUAGGUUCCACUUAUAUUUGAGAUUUGUGCCUACGUGUACAUUGUUGGUUCAGCUUUAUUUGAAAAUAAAAUGCUUUGCCAUAUGGAUCCUUGAGACUGAGAGCAAAGAUGAGAAUAGCUUUGUCGUCUCGUACUUCUGGCUGACCGGCAAAGCACUAAUGCCGUUUGUUAGUCACGCCUUAUUAGGUGUUUUUUUAUCGUCUAGUAGUUUUUACUGAUGGCAAAAGCGGUUGACUGACGACAAAGAUUUU
rnacentral:lncRNA from 1 species